rnacentral:rRNA from 1 species
UACGUAGGGAGCAAGCGUUGUUCGGAUUUACUGGGCGUAAAGGGCGCGUAGGCGGCAAUUCAAGUCAGCUGUGAAAUCUCCGGGCUUAACUCGGAACGGUCAGCUGAUACUGCUUUGCUAGAGUGCGGAAGGGGCAAUCGGAAUUCUCGGUGUAGAGGUGAAAUUCGUAGAUAUUAGGAAGAACACCAGUGGCGAAGGCGGCUCACUGGCCCGGUACUGACGCUGAGGCGCGAAAGCGUGGGGAGCAAACAGG